GACGAACGCUGGCGGCGUGCCUAAUACAUGCAAGUCGAGCGAAGUUUUUCUGGUGCUUGCACUAGAAAAACUUAGCGGCGAACGGGUGAGUAACACGUAAAGAACCUGCCUCAUAGACUGGGACAACUAUUGGAAACGAUAGCUAAUACCGGAUAACAGUAUUUCUCGCAUGAGAGAUAUUUAAAAGUUGGUUAUGCUAACACUAUGAGAUGGCUUUGCGGUGCAUUAGCUAGUUGGUGGGGUAAAGGCCCACCAAGGCGACGAUGCAUAGCCGACCUGAGAGGGUGAUCGGCCACACUGGGACUGAGACACGGCCCAGACUCCUACGGGAGGCAGCAGUAGGGAAUCUUACGCAAUGGGCGAAAGCCUGACGGAGCAACGCCGCGUGAGUGAAGAAGGAUUUCGGUUCGUAAAGCUCUGUUGUUAGGGAAGAAUGGAUAUGUAGUAACUAUACAUGUAAGAGACGGUACCUAACCAGAAAGCCACGGCUAACUACGUG
rnacentral:rRNA from 1 species